CCUUAAUAUAAAAGCACUAACAUUGACUAUCGACAACAUUCAGAGUUUGCUAACGGUGCAAGUAGCGUGAAAAAACAAUUAUGGCUAGAAUUUUAAUCGUUACCUUGGCUUUGAUCGCCGUCGCGAUGGCAGCACCAGGUUAUGGUGGUGGAUAUAACAGCGGCCACGGUGGAUUUGGUGGACAAGAUGGCGGAUUUGGACAAGGAGGUCACGGCGGAUUUGGUGGACAUGGACAGGACAGCGGAUUUGGACAUGGAGGUCACGGCGGAUUUGAACAAGGAGGUCACGGCAAUUUCGGAGGACACGGCUACGAAGGUGGAUUUGGAGAAGGCAGCCACGGAGGUCAUGGAGGACACGGAGGACAUGGAGGACAUGGAGGCCAUGGUGGAUACGACAACGGAUUUGGCCACGGUGGACACGGAAGCCACGGUCACUACUAAACUGAUAAUUAACUCCGCUACUAUAAUGUAAUUAAUUUUAAGUAAAUUAAAUAAAGUAUUUUGUAAAUAACAA